GAUGAACGCUGGCGGCGUGCCUAAUACAUGCAAGUCGAGCGAACGGACGAGAAGCUUGCUUCUCGGAUGUUAGCGGCGGACGGGGGAGUAACAAGUGGAUAACCUACCUAUAAGACUGGGAGAACUUCGGGAAACCGGAGCUAAUACCGGAGAAUAUUUUGAACCGCAUGGUUCAAAAGUGAAAGACGGUCUUGCUGUCACUUAGAGAUGGAUCCGCGCUGCAUUAGCUAGUUGGUAAGGUAACGGCUUACCAAGGCAACGAUGAAUAGCCGACCUGAGAGGGUGGUCGGCCGCAAUGGAACUGCGACAAGGUCCAGAAUCCUACGGGAGGCAGCAGUAGGGAAUAUUACGCAAUGGGCGGAAGACUGACGGAGCAACGCCGCGUGAGUGAUGAAGGUCUUCGGAUCGUAGAAAUCUGUUAUUAGGGAAGAACAUAUGUGUCAGUAACUGUGCACAUCUUGACGGUACCUAAUCAGAAAGCCCCGGCUAACUACGUG
rnacentral:rRNA from 1 species